rnacentral:rRNA from 1 species
UGAUGGGGAGUAACAAGUUGGAAACGACUGCUAAUACCGAAUACGCUCAUAAUGAACUUUAUGAGGAAAGGUGGCCUCUGCUUGCAAGCUAUCGCAUAGAGGUGAGUCCGCGUCCCAUUAGCUAGUUGGUGGGGUAACGGCCUACCAAGGCAACGAUGGGUAGCCGAUCUGAGAGGAUGAUCGGCCACACUGGAACUGAAACACGGUCCAG